UACAGAGGGUGCAAGCGUUGUUCGGAAUUAUUGGGCGUAAAGCGCGUGUAGGCGGCUUUGCAAGUCGGGUGUGAAAGCCCUCAGCUCAACUGAGGAAGUGCGCCCGAAACUGCAGAGCUUGAGUACCGGAGAGGAUGGCGGAAUUCCCCAAGUAGAGGUGAGAUUCGUAGAUAUGGGGAGGAACACCGGUGGCGAAGGCGGCCAUCUGGACGGAUACUGACGCUGAGACGCGAAAGCGUGGGUAGCAAACAGG
rnacentral:rRNA from 1 species